CCUACGGGUGGCAGCAGUGGGGAAUAUUGCGCAAUGGGCGAAAGCCUGACGCAGCGACGCCGCGUGAGGGAGGAAGGUCUUCGGAUCGUAAACCCCUGUCAGCAGGGAAGAACGGUCACUGUGUUAAUCAGCAGGGAAUUGACGGUACCUGCACAGGAAGCACCGGCUAACUCCGCGCCAGCAGCCGCGGUAAUACGGAGGGUGCGAGCGUUAAUCGGAAUUACUGGGGGUAAAGCGCUCGUAGGCGGUAUGCCAAGUCUAGGGUGAAGGCCGCGCGCUCAACGUGGGGACUGCCUUUGAAACUGGCAAACUAGAGUGUGUGAGAGGAUAGUGGAAUUCCAGGUGUAGGAGUGAAAUCCGUAGAUAUCUGGAGGAACACCAGUGGCGAAGGCGGCUAUCUGGCACAUAACUGACGCUGAGGAGCGAAAGCGUGGGUAGCGAACAGGAUUAGAUACCCGUGUAGUC
rnacentral:rRNA from 1 species